UGGGGGAUAUUGCACAAUGGGCGAAAGCCUGAUGCAGCGACGCCGCGUGGGGGAUGAAGGCUUUCGGGUUGUAAACCUCUUUCGCUAUCGAACAAGGCCCGCUUAGGGUGGGUUGAGGGUAGGUGGAGAAGAAGCGCCGGCUAACUACGUGCCAGCAGCCGCGGUAAUACGUAGGGCGCGAGCGUUGUCCGGAAUUAUUGGGCGUAAAGUGCUUGUAGGCGGCUUGUUGCGCCUGCUGUGAAAACGCGGGGCUUAACUUCGGGCGUGCAGUGGGUACGGGCAGGCUUGAGUGUGGUAGGGGUGACUGGAAUUCCAGGUGUAGCGGUGGAAUGCGCAGAUAUCUGGAGGAACACCGAUGGCGAAGGCAGGUCACUGGCCCAUUACUGACGCUGAGGAGCGAAAGCAUGGGUAGCGAACAGG
rnacentral:rRNA from 1 species